AGUGAACGCUGGCGGUAGGCCUAACACUUGCAAGUCGAACGGCAGCACAGUAAGAGCUUGCUCUUACGGGUGGCGAGUGGCGGACGGGUGAGGAAUACAUCGGAAUCUACUUUUUCGUGGGGGAUAACGUAGGGAAACUUACGCUAAUACCGCAUACGACCUACGGGUGAAAGCAGGGGAUCUUCGGAUCUUGCGCGAUUGAAUGAGCCGAUGUCGGAUUAGCUAGUUGGCGGGGUAAAGGCCCACCAAGGCGACGAUCCGUAGCUGGUCUGAGAGGAUGAUCAGCCACACUGGAACUGAGACACGGUCCAGACUCCUACGGGAGGCAGCAGUGGGGAAUAUUGGACAAUGGGCGCAAGCCUGAUCCAGCCAUACCGCGUGGGUGAAGAAGGCCUUCGGGUUGUAAAGCCCUUUUGUUGGGAAAGAAAAGCAGCAGGUUAAUACCCCGCUGUUCUGACGGUACCCAAAGAAUAAGCACCGGCUAACUUCGUG
rnacentral:rRNA from 1 species